rnacentral:rRNA from 1 species
UACGGGGGGGGUAAGCGUUGUUCGGAAUUACUGGGCGUAAAGGGCUCGUAGGCGGCCAACUAAGUCAUACGUGAAAUCCCUCAGCUUAACUGGGGAACUGCGUGUGAUACUGGAUGGCUUGGAUUUGGGAGAGGGAUGCGGAAUUCCAGGUGUAGCGGUGAAAUGCGUAGAUAUCUGGAGGAACACCUGUGGCGAAAGCGGCGCACUGGACCACAACUGACGCUGAGGCGCGAAAGCUAGGGGAGCAAACAGG